AGCUAAAGUAAACCAUGUGAUCACCCUCGCGCCCGACAGAGUCGCUGUAAUGAAUGCUCGGGAAGUUAUGGAGAGAAAGGAGACGAUCCCAGUGAUUAAUGCCAAAGCCCUGUUGCCUGGGGAGAGGGUGAUGUUUGACUUUCUUGUACAGCUGCAGUUUGUGUGGUGAAGGUGCUCCCACAAUGUGGUUGGCUGAGCCCCUCCCUCUCGCUGGGUGCAGUCUGAGGUAGAACGAGACUCUUCACAACAUUCUUGUCAUAUCUGGAACCCCAAGGAUACUACAGGUGGACAUUCAGAUGGUAAUCUCAGUCAUUGUAACACCAAACUCUGAUUGAAUUAGUCAGUUCAUCAGGACCUGGAUAUUCGCAUUGUGUGGUGCUACAUGGUGAAGGUUUGCAGACUGAAAUCUCAAAAUCAUGUGCAGAUUGUGAUUAUGUUAACCAGCAUUUGAAGAACCAAAGAUAGAGAAUCACUCGGCCAAAAUCCUGCAACACUCCCUCACAGCAUUGUUGGUCUAUCUGCACCAAAUGGACUGUGAAUGGUUCAAGACAGCAGCUCACUCCCAUCUUCUCAAGGGUAACUAGAGAUGGGGAAUAAAUGCUGGCUGAGCCAGUGAUGCCCAUAUCCUGGAAAUGGUUUCUAUCUCUAGUUGUUGAACCCCAGUUGAUGUUACUGCAGGAUGAUGAGGGACACUGAGUGCAUCCUCCAGGAGGCAGCACCAUCACAUUACCCCUGCCUACACCCACACAGUAACACAGCAACGUCACUGGAACAAAAGGCAGUGAAACCAAAGGAGGACUGAGAUAUAGCUCUUCGAGGUAAAGUCAUGAAAGGGGAUUGGAACACAGCAGGCACAGGAGACUGAGCUGGAUGGUCAGCUGUUUCCCAUUGAAUGUUGGAGCAGGAUUGAAAGGCUGAAUGGUCUCCUCCUGCUGCUAUCUCCCAGGUAUGUAUAUAGCCAUGGAGCCCGGGUAGGAAGGAGUGGGCAGGGAUUCUCCAGGAGAUUGCACUUCCACAACAGGUUUCAGUGAGGGAAGGUUUGAUGGAUUUUAUUUAACAUUUAUCUUUAACACAAAGUUUGUAAAUUUUGGUUUUAAAAUGUUGUAAAAGUUUUUUGCACAGCAAAUAAAAUUAAAGAAAA